rnacentral:lncRNA from 1 species
GAGGAGAGUGAGGGUUUGUGGUAGAGGUCUUGGGCUAAGUGAUCGAACUCAGGUAUGACUGCAAGGAUUCCGGAUUUCUAGGGGCGGGUGAAGCCGACGCGGUGGUUGGUGAUGGUGAUUGAAGGAGACAUUGCCGCACUCCACCCACAACUAGCAACAUACACUAGGUUGAAAUUAGCGUUGGAUAGAGAAUGAGGAUUUUGAUUUUGGGGGUGGUGCCAAUGGAUGUAUUGUGAGAGAGUGGGUGUGAGUUUGGCGAAUUUGGUGAGACUUGAGGGAGAGCUUGGAGGGCUGGCCAUGGGCGGAGGUGCAGAGAUGCACACGAGGGAAGAUAAUGAGAGGCAAUGAAGAAGAAAAAGAGAAAAAGAAGAAAAAAAAGAUAGAAGAAAAAAAUUAUUGUGAUAAGGUGUAGUUUAGAGUUUUUCUCUAAAUUAAUAAUUAAAAAUUAGAAGUGGGUCCCUUCUGUCUUCUUCAAAUCAGAUCAUGACGUCAUUCUUGAGCAAAUUUGAAUUUUUUUUUUUCUGUUUUGAUAGAUUUAGAGAGUUCAAGGGUACACGUGAUGAAAAAAAAAAAUGAGAGACACAACUGAUGAGUGACCCAAAGUUCAGGGUAGCACACUGAAUUUAAUCCUUCUUUUAUUUUACACCCACUCCACAUAAGCAAACAUACCAUAUAGAGCAAAUGUCUAUAAUUAAUAGUUUUAUUCAUUUUUCGGUUUUUCUAAUUUGCCUUUCAGACAGUAGAAAGCUAAAUUUGGUAUAUUUCUCAAUUUUAGCAUCAAUUUGAAACUCAUAUACUAGCUAAAAUUUAGUUGGAUUUAACUUUGUCAUAAUCAAUUACAUUCUUUAAUUUCUUACCUUGUUAUUACUAACUUGAGUUUAUAUAUAGAGAAAAUUAGAUAAAAACCCAAAAUACUAGAUAUAUACAGAAGUAUGUCAUUUGUAAUAGGAUGAUACUUUUCAUUCCUAAGCUCACAUUUGGUGUCUCUUUACAUAGUCGAAAAAUGUCUAAUUGUAAGGUACACGUUCUUGUUCUUUGAUUAAUUUUCUUCUUUUUAAGUAUAUUAUUAUAUCAUUUCCCAUCCUAAUCGAGAGAACAUUUUACUCUCUACUACUUACGUUUCUAAUGUACCUAUUAAGUAGGGCAUGAUAUGAUAAUAUACCUAAAAAGAAGAAACCCAAAAUUGGGUUUAGGGUAUAGGUUCAAGGUAUAGGGUAUAGGGUUUAGGGUUUAGGGUAUAAGGUUUAGGGUUUAGGGUAUAGGGUAUAGGGUUUAGGGUGUAGGGUGUAGGGUGUAGGGUAUAGGGUUUAGAUUAGGGUUUAGGGUUUAGGGUGUAGGGUUUAGGAUUUAGGAUUUAGGAUUUAGGGUUUAGGGUUUAGGGUUUAGGGUUUAGAUUAGAUAGGGUUUAGGGUUUAUGGUUUAGGGUUUAGGGUUUAGGGUGUAGUGUGUAGGGUUUAGGGUGUUUAGGGUUUAGAUUAGAUAUCUUAUUUAUAUUAUAUUUUACCUUAUGUGAUUGGAGUAUGAAGAGAAAUUUUAAAUACACAGCUUUAAUAUCUUAAUAUACACCUCUUACUUAAUACACUACCUAUCAAGUUUUUCAUUUCAAUAUUAU